AACCAGCAGUAACUGGCUACCACUAGUAAUUGGAGCAGGAGGUGGAGGAUGUGCUGUUGCCAUUUGCAUAUGUUGUACCAUUAUAGUUUGUUUUUGUUGUAGGAGGAGGAGUAGGAGGAAAAAUCCCACAAAAACAGAGGAAGCAGUUGAAUUGUACAGUUACAUCACUAAAAUAACCACAGACUCUGUAGACAAUGAUUACCAUUACAUUGCAGCACCUUUAGUUUGUCAGAAUGAAGCAGCAAU